rnacentral:rRNA from 1 species
UACGUAGGGCGCAAGCGUUGUCCGGAAUUAUUGGGCGUAAAGAGCUCGUAGGCGGCUUGUUGCGUCAGCUGUGAAAACCCGCAGCUCAACUGUGGGCUUGCAGCUGAUACGGGCAGGCUUGAGUUCGGUAGGGGAGUGGAAUUCCCGGUGUAGCGGUGGAAUGCGUAGAUAUCGGGAAGGAACACCAGUGGCGGAAGGCGACUCUCUGGC